rnacentral:rRNA from 1 species
AAUCCUGGCUCAGGAUGAACGCUAGCUACAGGCUUAACACAUGCAAGUCGAGGGGCAGCGGGGAUUGAAGCUUGCUUCAAUUGCCGGCGACCGGCGCACGGGUGAGUAACGCGUAUCCAACCUUCCGCAUACUCGGGGAUAGCCUUCUGAAAAGGAGAUUAAUACCCGAUGGUAUCAAGAGAUUGCAUGAUAACUUGAUUAAAGAAUUUCGGUAUGCGAUGGGGAUGCGUUCCAUUAGG